CUCUCUCUCCCCUCGCACGUUUACAUGCAUCUCUCUCCUCCUCCGAUCUGUCUUCAUGCUUUUCCCCUUCCCUCUCUCUAAUUCGAACUCUUUCCCUGCACUGAAACCCUAACGCUAGAUUCCCAAUUUCUUCCCCAAAACGCUCCCUUUUAGAUCCCAUGGAGAUGGCCUCGAGUCCGCGAACGGUGGAGGAGAUCUUCAAGGAUUACAGUGCACGGAGAAACGCCGUUGUCCGCGCUUUAACUGACGAUGUCGAUGAAUUUUACGGACUCUGUGAUCCAGGUAAAUGCCUAAUUGAUGGCUGAGGAGGGUGUGCGCGGAGGAGGGUAAGUCGUUGAAGGAGGAGUUGAUGGCUGAGGAGGAACGCUCUCGAAGAUUGACUCGAGUCAAGUGAGUAUUUCUCUUGAAUUUUUUUAAUUUUGAUGAAAGUACUGGUUUUUGGCGAAGAAUGUAAUUUAUAGGAGUUAAUUUGGUGUUAGAAUCCGCUCAAUUUUGAUGGGUUUUUAGUUUGUAUGUCUAUGGUUUGCUGUUUGGGUGUUUGUUGUUCAUGAACUGUGUAUUUCGUGUUUUUGAUUUCGGAUUGAGUGAGAAAAUCGUAUUGGAAUUUGAUUGAUGUUAUUAUCUUA